rnacentral:rRNA from 1 species
UACGAAGGGUGCAAGCGUUACUCGGAAUUACUGGGCGUAAAGCGUGCGUAGGUGGUUGUUUAAGUCUGUUGUGAAAGCCCUGGGCUCAACCUGGGAACUGCAGUGGAAACUGGACAACUAGAGUGUGGUAGAGGGUAGCGGAAUUCCCGGUGUAGCAGUGAAAUGCGUAGAGAUCGGGAGGAACAUCCAUGGCGAAGGCAGCUCCCUGGACCAACACUGACACUGAGGCACGAAAGCGUGGGGAGCAAACAGG